UGAUUCGGGCUCCGGCCCGAUCCUCCCACCCUUUGUGUACCUACCUCUGUUGCUUUGGCGGGCCGCGGUCCUCCGCGGCCGCCCCCCUCCCCGGGGGGUGGCCAGCGCCCGCCAGAGGACCAUCAAACUCCAGUCAGUAAACGAUGCAGUCUGAAAAACAUUUAAUAAACU
rnacentral:misc_RNA from 1 species